UACGUAGGUGGCAAGCGUUGUCCGGAUUUACUGGGCGUAAAGGGAGCGUAGGUGGAUAUUUAAGUGGGAUGUGAAAUACUCGGGCUUAACCUGAGUGCUGCAUUCCAAACUGGAUAUCUAGAGUGCAGGAGAGGAAAGUAGAAUUCCCGGUGUAGUGGUGAAAUGCGUAGAUAUCGGGAGGAACACCAGUGGCGAAGGCGACUUCCUGGCCUGUUCUUGACGCUGAGGCGCGAAAGCUAGGGGAGCAAACGGG
rnacentral:rRNA from 1 species